UACGAAGGGGGCUAGCGUUGUUCGGAAUUACUGGGCGUAAAGCGCGUGUAGGCUGCGGAGUAAGUCGGAUGUGAAAUCCCUUGGCUUAACCAAGGAAGUGCAUCCGAUACUGUUUCGCUUGAGUGUCGGAGGGGAUGGCGGAAUUCCCGGUGUAGAGGUGAAAUUCGUAGAUAUCGGGAGGAACACCUGUGGCGAAGGCGGCCAUCUGGACGACAACCGACGCUGAGACGCGAAAGCGUGGGUAGCAAACAGG
rnacentral:rRNA from 1 species